GAAAGGAAGGACUAUGGAGCGUC
rnacentral:piRNA from 1 species